rnacentral:rRNA from 1 species
CCUACGGGAGGCAGCAGUGGGGAAUAUUGGACAAUGGGCGAAAGCCUGAUCCAGCAAUGCCGCGUGAGUGAUGAAGGCCUUAGGGUUGUAAAGCUCUUUUACCAGGGAUGAUAAUGACAGUACCUGGAGAAUAAGCUCCGGCUAACUCCGUGCCAGCAGCCGCGGUAAUACGGAGGGAGCUAGCGUUGUUCGGAAUUACUGGGCGUAAAGAGUACGUAGGCGGUUAUUCAAGUCAGAGGUGAAAGCCCGGGGCUCAACCCCGGAACUGCCUUUGAAACUAGAUAGCUAGAGUCUUGGAGAGGUUAGUGGAAUUCCGAGUGUAGAGGUGAAAUUCGUAGAUAUUCGGAAGAACACCAGUGGCGAAGGCGACUAACUGGACAAGUACUGACGCUGAGGUACGAAAGCGUGGGGAGCAAACAGGAUUAGAUACCCUGGUAGUCCACGCCGUAAACGAUGAUAACUAGUUGUUCGGGCACUUGGUGCCUGAGUGACGCAGCUAACGCAUUAAGUUAUCCGCCUGGGGAGUACGGUCGCAAGNUUAAAACUCAAAGGAAUUGACGGCUGAGAGNGCGAGACGACGACGAGGAGAG